GUGGAUUCGCAAGGAGUCACUGAAUAUGCAUGAGAGAGAGAGAGAGAAUAUGAAUAUGAGGGAAAUGGCAGAGAAACCAGAGGAAUUGUGGAUAAGGACAAAGGGGGAGAAGACCUCGGGGACCGUGGCACCCAUGUGGUCGGACAGGUUAGGGAGGAAAAGGUUAGGGAGAAACGAGGCGCAGGAGAAGGCUUUGGGAAAGGAAUAAGGAGGCCAAGAGAGCGGAGCCAGGAGCCGGUGGCGCAGGCAGAUGGAACAACGGAGACCGAGAGCAGAGCCAGAGGAGUGGGCACGCAGCGAGGCCUGACAGCCAAGCCCUGUGGGUUUCCGUGGGAAGCAGAUGCUUCCAGGGAGCAGCAACCGAUGGUCCCUAAGCACGUGGGUCCUUGUUGACUCCAGGCCCAGGGCAGCCUCCUCGGCAGCCAGCCUGAGCCUGGAGCAGCAGUGCAGGUCCAGGGAGGCAGAUGCACGGCCGCCCUGCCCCGGUGGGGGCCCUGUGGCCUUCCCUCUGUCCUCCUCGGGCUCCUCCACCCCUGUGUGUCCCAGGAAGCCACGGGCUGCCCUAUCACGCCCAGAAGGAAGCGGGCUGCAUUGGAGGGCCCGCAGGUGCGCAGCAGGCCCCAGAGAAGAAGGAAAAGGUGGCACGGAUCCCAGGCAAGGACUUGGAGCCAGCAGACCCGGUCACUUGGCGCCUGGAGCCCGGGUCUGCGGGAAGCCACGGCUGGGCUGAAGCUUAGAGGCCAGGGCAGCGUUAGGACGCCCCCCACCCCCACCCCGGGAAGGGCGCAGACCCUCAGCCCGUGGCAACCAAGCGGACGUGCUCUCCUCUGCUCGGCUCUGCCCUCCUCCUCCGGGUAGGUGCUCCAGCCGGAGAAUGGGGGGGCCGCCUCUGAGCAGCGAGGUCCAAGGAGCAGAGAGCCCUGGCAGGGUCGCACGGGGCAGGGGGCCCAGCCGCCCAGGGGGCCCCCACUUCCCCUCCGCGCCGAGCUGUGCUUCACAAGGCUGUGACCUUGCGGAGGAGGAGCCUGGGCUUCCGUCACCCAUCACCCAUCACCUCCAUCCUACGUGAGCUGCAGGGAGAGGCGAGGCAUGCAGGCGGAGGAGGGCCUGAGCCCCAGAAGGGGUGGAGCACAGCACCCCACGGUCCCUGCCAGGGCCCAGGUCCUGAACACUUGCUGCCUUUUCCCCUCCCUGAAGGACGCACCUGUGUGACUCGGGGCAUGUCAGGGCCUGAAGGAACCUCAGCCCUACCUCAGUGUCCCCCAGCCCUUUGUCGCUUCACAAACAAGACAAAGACACCCCAAAGAAAGGAAGGGACCUGGCCAGGGCCACAGAGCUCACUGGCAGCCAUGCCAAGGUGAUCAUUUAGGAUUUUCUGCAGUUUGGUAGAAUUUAGAAAUUCUUGGGGAAGUUAGCCGGCCGGGCCAAGCAGCAGCCUGCCGCCACCCACCCUGCUGGAACGGGGCUGCACGGCCGCCCAAGCUCAGGGCAUCGGCUUCCUGGGCUCGUAAGUCCCUCAAACUAUAGGCAACAUUUUGAGUGUCUGUGCGCUGGAUAUUUUUCUGGAGAGAAGUUCACAGCUUCAAUCGAUUUAUAAAGAGACGCACGACCCAGGAGAGGCUGAGCUCAGUGCCUGGAAGCAUCAGGAACCCAGCUCCCCGGGGGGCCGGGCGCCUCAGCAGCAUCGGGACUGAGGGCUGGGCCACGCUCCCCUGGUGGACAAGGAUGCGUCCUCGAGGGUAAGGCUCUGGUCUAGCUGUCCCCGUCUGAGAUGCCAGCCUGGGCCGGGGCCUGCCGCAGACACAAAUCUGAUUCGUUUAUUAGUCUGCCCAGUGCUUCUCUCCCCAUAUCCAGCGCUGCUCCGCUGCUCCGUCUCCAGCGACGACGAGAAGCCCUGAUGGAGAAGGAGCAACAAUUGUUCUACGAUUCGAGGCUGAGGUUCAGGACCUUUGUCGGCUCCUGUUAAGGGCUGAUCACCUUGGGGAAGUCAAGGCAGUCUCUCCAAACUUAGAUGUCCUGACGCAGACUGCGCUGUGUUCCGCGACGGCCCCAGAACCUUCCGGAAAGCUUAGUUCUCCAGUCAGAAAGGGAGAGCUCCGGCAAGCAGGGCCUUGUCUCAGACCCUGGCCCUCAGGAGUGUGAGCUCUCCAUUGUAAAAGGAGAAUAAUUCUAAGUCUGCAAGGAUCGGUGUAGACCUGGCCUCAGGGCACAGGCUCCAGUUCCUCAGCGGCUUGAUCUUUGGUCUGAAUGUCUUUCUUGUCCCACUUUGCACCUUCUACAGCUCAGCUGCUAAGCCCACUGGGGAUUAAGAGGGGACGGGAGGGGCGGGGAGAGAGCUCCCCACCCCAGAGGAGAGCGUGGCUUUCUGAGGGGGGAGGAGGGAGGAGGGGACGGGCUUCUCAGCCCCCCAGGCCAGUUCUCCUCCUCUUCCUCGGGCUCCCCCCCCAACCCCCACCCGGCUGGACCCUCCUUUGGAGAGCCGAGCUCUGAGAGGGGGUUAUACAGCUGCUGCCUCUGUCUGGUCCUAAAAAUAGCCUCCUCUCUGCCCAUGCCCAGCUCAGGGCUUGGCCAGAGCUGCAGGGAGGCCUCACAGGCGGGAGGGAACUGGACGUGGGGUGGACACGCCUCCCCAACGUGGGGAGACAGGAGGAGGGAGGGUACCACCUCGGGACCUGCCUCCACUCCCGUCUUCUCUGUUGCCCCAGAAAGUCCCCUAGGGAAGGGACAGGCUUUCUCAUCUCAGUGUUUCUGGGGGGACCGUGAGCAUGCAAAGGCUAAGCCAGCUGACCUGGGGCACGUACUAAUACUCAUUUAGGGAGACCUGGCCACGUGCCUUCUUCCACCGCUCUAAGCACCAUUGACACAAAGGACCCUGUGACGUGGGUAUUGUUCGUAUUAUUCCCUUUGACAAUCAAAGAAAUGAAGGCCCAGAGACAUGAACCCCCCAAACUCAGAGUCAGGCAGUGGGGACAGGAUUCCCCGUCAGGCGGCCCCCCACGCCCCCAGCCGCGGCCGAGGUCCAGGACCCAGUGCCCAGAAGGCUGAGGAGGAGGGAAAGGGCUCCUGGAGUUGCCCCAGAGGAGGGCACCCCAAGCAAAACUGGCUUGGCGGCCUAACACCCACCUUCCGAAGGGUUCAUGAUGAUCACAGACACACGGCCGAGCAGGAAGGCCGCCCAGCAGCACCCCCGUCCGGCUGGCUUUGAAUUUGCAGGUAGAUCUUCUCUGGCUGCCCCGUUCACCUCGCAGGCUGCCAGUUUCUGAGAAGGCUCAGGGACAUGGUCGCCCUGGGAAGGGGGCACCCCAAAGACUCGCCAGUGGGCCAUGCCCCUGGGGCAAGGGGGGGGGCAGCCUGAGUGAUGUAGAUCCUUAGAAUCAAGCAGAUUUGGGCUUCACACACAGGGCUGAAGGCGGACAGAGGAUGGAGGGAAAGAUGGAAAGGGAAGAAGAGAGUCAAAGGAAGAGGAAAGGAGGGAGGAAGAGGAAGAAAGUGAGCAAAAUGUGGGUUCUCAAGACCAGCUGCCCACCUGGCCUCGGUCUCCCGCCUAGAGGAGCCUAGAGGGGAAGGGCUGGUCCCACAGGGCACGCGGACUGUGGCAGGGGACAGACAGCCCUGGGCGGCCAGAGCGGGGAACAGGGACCACCAGGGCCCCCUGGGGUCUCUCCUCUCCAGACGCCGGGCUGACCUGGCCUGUUUGGGGCCCAAGCACACUCCAUCCUCCCGCAGAGCCACUAACGCAAUUAGCAAAACACGGUCAUAAAUCUUGCGUGGCGUCUGGAGCCAUGUCCUCUCUUCCCCAGAUUCCCAUGCGGAGCCGUCGUCCCCCAGGGUCACAGCCUGCUGAAGAAAGCAGCAAGACCCCUGCCCCACCCCGCGCCCCCCAGGAGCCCCACUGCGAGGCUGGGGCCCAGGAAAUCCCAAGAAGUCGGAGGCAGGAUGUGAAUGCGAGUUUGCAGAGGCCUGGGGAGUGGAUCGUGCCUCAGAGGCCCACAGAAUCUCGGGGGUGGGGGGGGACAGAGCGGGCGAGUAGGAGACCGAGGGCAUCUGCGUGAGGGCCUGUGCAUGACUUGGCAGCAUGAUGGGGUGUUUGUGUUUUGUGGGGGGGGGGGUGUGCACUCAGUCUGGAGGACUGGUGAGUCACUAAAAACGGGAGCUUUCUGAUCUGAAGAGCUUAUUUUCAGCUAUUUUUAUCACCUCUUGUCUCUUGGCCCUUUUUCUCCCCUUGUCUUUUUCAAAUAUAGAGGACUUUGGGGGCCGUGAUGCCAUGAGUGCCUACGUGAGGUUCGGCUUGAGCCAAGGGGCGGGGACCCCCUGGAAGCACAGGGAUUGACGCGCACGGGAGCGCACAGGUGCACAGGUGCACAGGUGCACAGAGGAUCCCGUUCUGGCUCGUGUGCCGCACACGAGCAGGUGCGAGUAAGGCCACACAGGUCCCUGGACGCUCCACACUUCCGGCCUGAACUCUGAUGGGGUGGACGCGUCGCUACCCCCGCCCCGGCCAUACGCAAACCCGUGAGGACACCUGGCCCCGCACCGGCCUCACACUGACCCAGGGGGUCACGCUCACAUGAACGUGUGGCCACGGCACGGUCCUGGGCCCCUGUCCUGGGAGUGGCCCUGACCCCUGCGUUCCUCUCUUUGCCCAGCCACCCUCCCCUCCAAAGCGUUGACACGGUAUCAGGAAGGCCUUCGGCAGCCGUCAACGGGGAGUAAGGGGCGAGCUCCUCACUGGGCUUCCGGGAGGACUCAUUGCAGCCCAGGGCGCCCACCGCCACCUCUGGCCCGAGACACCGUGGCCCCAGCGCACAGUCCUCCGGCCACUGGGGCCGGCUUGUGCCUGCGAUGGCGGGACAGGGCUGCGAGGUGCACUCCUCGUGGGAGCUCGCUCCUCCAGCCCCGAAGAGGGAGAGGCGAGGGAGCCCUCCGAGCGCCUGACCGUGCCUGCCCGGAGGGGCCAUCGGCUCCAGGGGAAGGCGUCCCACAGCGGCCGUCUCCCCCUCGGCUCCGUGAAGGGAGCGGGGCAACCAGCCGACUGCAGUCUCCGGGGUUCUCGAGGCCCAGGUCCCUUGACGUCGCGUCUAUGUUGAUGUGAUCGCGUCCACGCAGCAGCGGGCUAGCAUCGCAGUGCAGGAUUGCACAUGUGCUCCGAGUGUCGCUCCGCACAGGCACAGGCCCCACUGCCUACCUGCCCACACGGCCGUGCAUACUGACCCUCGCUCGCGGCGGGCACGCAGGUGCUGUCACCCCUACUAGGACCCCAUCCUGAUGGGCGGCCUGAGGCCUACCCCUUCCUCCUGAGACUGUGCAGCUGAAAGGCCCCCCGGCCACUUGUAGGUUCCAUGGGGAGCCGCGUGCUCUUCCAAGGGACCACGGCAGCCCAGAGCAGGGGCGCUUCGUCUAGCUUGUCCCCCCAAAGGCACUGUAGCUCCCGGUGUCGGGCCCAGGUCCAGCUGCUGGAGGAGCCAGCUGUCCCUGCCCGCCCAGCCUCUUCGUCCCAGUCCACAGCGUUUGGGGAGCGUGGGCUCAUGCAGGUCAUCGUUACAAAGGAGGACAGCCCUGAGCCCCCAGAUCAGUUGCAGUCUGGCAAGGAAGACGGACCCCCGUGCCAUCAGCCUGCCACAAGGCGCCACCAAGGCUCCGAAGCGUAUGCUGAGUCCUGCCCCGUGCUCAGUGCUGAGAAAGGUAGUGGUGCCGCCGAGGACGUCAUCCCUACCCUCACAAACGUCACAAAUCUAAUUGGGAGCCCCACAAAGAGGCAGAGACCAGCACGGACGAUUCGAAAGCUUGGAAGGCUAGAGCAGAGGCGAGUCCCAGUGCCUUGGGCCCGAAGCGGAUCCCUGCGCCUCGAGAAGCUCGGGCGACCUGAGCCACAUAGAUUAUUCUGGCCCCGAUGGCUGUGGCACUUCUGCGGGGUUCGCCCAAAGCGCUGGGUAGAGCAGGACCCCGAGGCCGCGCUCGGGCCUGGCGGAGGUGGGUAACCGGUGCUGCCCGCGGCAGGGACCACCCGACGGAGCGGCCAAGGGAAGGCCACGCGUCGUAACUGCUCCCGAGGAGGAGCCCUGGCCCGGGUCACUUGCAAGGUCUCCCGCAGCCUUCCAGUUCUAGAAUUCCGAGACUUAAAUGGUGCAUUUCAAGACACUGGCUGGAAGCACAAGAAGUCAGGGGAGGAAGAGCUCUGUGUGGGUUAGAAUCCGCAAGGAAGGCUUUGGGAAGGAGGCGGCACCUUAGCUGGGCCUUGACGUGGGGGAGUGUGAGUAGCUGUACGGGAGGUGGGAGGACAUUUAUAUGCAUGAAAACGGGGCUGAGCACGGGCUGUGCCUGGUACCGGAAGGAGGAGGCCCGGCUUCGCCCGAGUGCCCUGUCCGGGGCGGGUAGGACUGGACAGGCGAGGCUUGCUCGUCCGGAAACGCGGGAGCGGACACUUGCUGAGAGCUUACUGUGGGGUCAGCCACAGAACAAAGGCGACUUUCCACAAAAUAUUUCAUUCAAUCCUCAUAACACACCCACAAGGUAUGUCCCACCACCAGCCUCUGCUUAUAGAAAAGGAAACACGGGGACAGAAAGCGACUCGCUCAGGGUCACGCAGCUCCUCGGAGGUAGAGUCCAGGUACCUUUGGUAGAGUCCAAAGGCUGGUAACGUGGUUCUGACGGGCGCGGUGCAUCCUCUCCGCUCUGGCUUCUCCCCUCCUCUUCAAGGGGCACAGAGAGGGACCCAGCGACACCGUUGGAGCCUCGCACUGACUCCCUGAGGCCUGGGGGAGGGCGGGGACCGCUGCAGCUGGAGGGGGGACGGCCUCCGACGUCAAUCGCAUGGCCAAGCUCAAGCCAAGGACACGGCCACAGGACGUGCGAGGCCCCUGCUCCGGGCUCCCGGACGCUUGCCCAGGCCCUAAGUGAUCUACUACUGGGUGACGUCCCAGCACUGCCCACUGGGCCGCGACCUCGGGGCAUUUGGGGCUCGGCACCUGAAGCGAGGAGUAGAUUCCACCCUGCUCAGACCGCAGGCUUGGAAACAGGAGGCGGCGGCCAGAGUGAGGAUCUCGGUCAGAGUCGCCUCAGCCCCAGCCUGCCCGGUGCCCGGUGGUGUGCGGGGCCCUUGGCGCCCGGUGGUGUGCGGGGGCUGCCUGGUGCCCGGUGGUGUGCAGGGCCCUGAGGGCCCGGUGAUGUGUGGGGGCUGCCUGGCACCCGGUGGUGUGCAGGGCCCUUGGUGCCCGGUGGUGUGUGGGGCCCACCUGGCGCCUGGUGGUGUGCGGGGCUCUUGGGGCCCGGUGGUAUGCGGGGGCCCGCCUGGCACCCGGUAAUGACAUCACAAGAAAAAGGUGAAUCGAUUGAUAUGUCCUGUGGUUGCCGACCAUUUCAAGAUAAUGAAUCCCGCCUAAGGACCAUUGUAAAAAAAUAAAAGGGAAUUCAUGAAGCCAUCUCUGCAGCUAUGCCAGCAGGCAAAAAGCCCUUGCACUUUGCGUGAAAUGCCUGCAGGGCCCUUGGGGCCGGGUGGUGUGCAGGGCCCCUGGGGCCCACCCAGGACCCUGUGGCGUGCGGGGCAGGCCGGGGCCCAGUGGCGUGUGGGGGCUCCUGCCCUUGCCCCCUUCUCCUCGCCCUCUCCUGCCCCUGCCCUCCUUUCCCGGCGCAGGCCCAAGCCCAGCCUCCCUCCCGCCUGGACUCUUAGUUCAGUGGGGCCCAGGGAGCGGCUUUUGGGCCCCUCCCUGCCUCUAAGCACCUGAGCACAGGGGGACACUCAGGCCUUCUCGUUCCUUCUUCGCCACUAACACCGCUCGUGCCCAGCCGCCCCACAGCCCUGCACGGUGCAGGCAUGGCUCUGAAAUCCGGGGAUCAGUAUGAAACCAGCCUGGGGACCCCCAGCUUUCUCACCGUCUCCCUCUUGCACCCCAACCCCAGCUCUCUCCCUCUGCGUCCCCGCUGGAGGCCUUUCCUUCUGGCUUCUCCAUCUGGCCUCAGGCAGGCCCCUGGCCCCCGCUGUACUGAGAAAGAGCCAGAGCCGUAAGGAUGGACUGGAGGCUCCCACAAACCACCUGCUAAAGUCUCACGCUUGUUGUCCAGAAUAGGCUCAUUGACUAAGAACCUGAUUUUAUAAGUCUUUCUAGAACUUUCUUCCUUUCCAGACCCCUGGGCCACGGCGGCCCUCCCUUCUGUCAGGAAACCCAUCCUCAUUCUCCAGCUUGACUUCUCAAAUGCCUCAUCCUUUCUUGUUCUGGGGAUUAGCAGGGUCUGACCCCCGAGUGACACUGUUCCUUAGCACCCGACCCCCAACAAAAACAAUUCCCGUCUUACCCCGUCGAAGCUUACAGUCCCAGCUCCUUGGACCCAAGGCACAGAAAGACCCCUUUCCUUCCAGCCAGUAAAUGGCAAAGAAGAGCAAGCCUGGGCAUUUCCUCGGUCUACCUCGAAGAAGCUGAGCCGAAGGCCCCACAGCUCUCCCCGGCCCCCGGGCUUUGCUCUUUCUUCCCAGGAGACACAAUGGCCAGGCGUCAUGGGUGAGGCAAAUCCCCAGCAGCCAACCUCUCCCCUGUCCUGGUUCCUGCUCUCCUCGUGGAUCUCUCUCCAUUACAGGGGUGCACCCACCCAGUCAUUUCAGGCCUUCUCUGGAGCUGUCCCCUGCAGAACUCAUGUUGGCUCUAGCGUCCGGGGCAGCGGGUGCAAGUCUGGGUCUGUCUGUCUGGAGAAUGAUGCCCCAGGAGAGCGGAGGUAUUGCCGCUCUGCCGGCAGCACCAGAGAGGGGGCACAGCCUGGAACGGAUGCCGGUGCCCAUUGCUCAGCUCACGCACACACUGGAGUCCUGCGGUACUUCAUUCUCACUGCCCGGAUCUGCCAUGGGGCCAACAGGAGAGAAUGGAAGGCACCCCCAGAAGGCAUCGAGGCAUUCCCAUGGAAUUAAUGAAGAUAACCCAAACUUUUUUCCAGUGGGAAUGUAUGCUGUGGCCUUCAUCCCUCCAAGUGCUGCUUCCUCGGGAGAGUGCGCGCACAAGCCGGGGGAGCGGCAGGCCUCGGAGAGGGAGGAGCAGGCCCAGCUGAGCCUGGGACCUGGGACCUGGGACCGGGCGGCAGCAGAAGGAGGACUCCGAGGCUAAGCAGCUCCAUCAAGGUCAGGGGUGGUAGAGAGAGAGAGACUUCUGGAUUGAGCUUCCAGGCUCCUUCUGCAGGUCUGUCCCCUGGCCAUGAUUCCGUCCUCUCCCUGACUCCUCUGUCCCCGCCUCCGAGGGGCUCUGGCUGCAGGCAAGCAAGCCCCGGCUGGGGAUCCCCGCUCCUCCAGUCCCUCUCUGGCAUUUAUUAGAGGAACAUGUAGAUUGUUUGAAGGAAGGGAGGAGGAUCCCCUAAGCGGCUGGCUCGGUUCUCAUUCUGGCCCCCGCCCAGCCCCAUCUGAAGGACCUGGAAUUCCUGUAACUCGGGUCCUUUCUUCUUGCUCCCCUGCCGCCAAUACACUGACCUGUGGUCUUUUUUGUUAUUA